UACGUAGGGUGCGAGCGUUAAUCGGAAUUACUGGGCGUAAAGCGUGCGCAGGCGGUUUUGUAAGCCAGAUGUGAAAUCCCCGGGCUCAACCUGGGAAUGGCAUUUGGGACUGCAAGGCUGGAGUGCGGCAGAGGGAGGUGGAAUUCCACGUGUAGCGGUGAAAUUCGUAGAUAUCAGGAGGAACACCGGUGGCGAAGGCGGCUUCCUGGCCAUUCACUGACGCUGAGACGCGAAAGCGUGGGGAGCAAACAGG
rnacentral:rRNA from 1 species